rnacentral:rRNA from 1 species
GUCUGCCUACGGGACGCAGCAGUGGGGGAUACUGCACAAUGGGGGAAACCCUGAUGCAGCGACGCCGCGUGUGGGAAGACGGUCCUCUGGAUUGUAAACCACUGUCCCCAGGGACGAAGAUGAUGGUACCCCGCCAGAAAGUCACGGCUAACCACGUGCCAGCAGCCGCGGUAAUACGUAGGUGGCGAGCGUUAUCCGGAAUGAUUGGGCGUAAAGGGUGCGCAGGCGGCGCGUCAAGUCUGAAGUAAAAGGUACAGGCUCAACCUGUGCAGGCUUUGGAAACUGGCGCGCUCGAGGACAGGAGG